rnacentral:rRNA from 1 species
AGGCAGCAUAGGGAAUUUUCGUCAAUGGGCGCAAGCCUGAACGAGCGAUGCCGCGUGAGUGAAGAAGGCCUUCGGGUCGUAAAGCUCUGUUGCGGGGGAAAAAAGGCAGCAUCAGGAAAUGGGUGCUGACUGAUGGUGCCCCGCCAGAAAGUCACGGCUAACUACGUGCC